UAAGUUUGAUGUCAAAUAUGAUGGCUCAACCAUCAAGAGGCGUUGAAAACUGUUUAUCUAGAAUCUCGGAGAGGUAAGUGGAAAUUCCAUGUGUAGCGGUGGAAUGCGUAGAUAUAUGGAGGAACACCAAUGGCGAAGGCAGCUUACUGGACGAAGAUUGACGCUGACGGUGCGAAAGCGUGGGUAGCCAAACAGGAUUAGAUACCCCUGGUAG
rnacentral:rRNA from 1 species